AACGUACGCUGGCGGCACGCCUAACACAUGCAAGUCGAACGAAGUAGCAAUACUUAGUGGCAGACGGGUGAGUAACAUGUAGGUAUCUGCCCUUUGGCCUGGAAUAACACGAGGAAACUCGUGCUAAUACCGGAUAAGUCUUUACGGAGAAAGCUUUAUGCACCGUUGGAUGAGCCUGCACUUGAUUAGUUUGUUGGUGGGGUAAUGGCCUACCAAGACUGUGAUCAAUAGCUGAUUUGAGAGGAUGAUCAGCCACAUUGGGACUGAGACACGGCCCAAACUCCUACGGGAGGCAGCAGUGGGGAAUCUUGCACAAUGGAGGAAACUCUGAUGCAGCGAUGCCGCGUGAGUGAAGAAGGCCCUUGGGUUGUAAAGCUCUUUCGUCGGGGAAGAAAAUGACUGUACCCGAAUAAGAAGGUCCGGCUAACUUCGUGCCAGCAGCCGCGGUAAUACGAAGGGACCUAGCGUAGUUCGGAAUUACUGGGCUUAAAGAGUUCGUAGGUGGUUGAAAAAGUUGGUGGUGAAAUCCCAGAGCUUAACUCUGGAACUGCCAUCAAAACUUUUCAGCUAGAGUAUGAUAGAGGAAAGCAGAAUUUCUAGUGUAGAGGUGAAAUUCGUAGAUAUUAGAAAGAAUACCAAUUGCGAAGGCAGCUUUCUGGAUCAUUACUGACACUGAGGAACGAAAGCAUGGGUAGCGAAGAGGAUUAGAUACCCUCGUAGUCCAUGCCGUAAACGAUGUGUGUUAGACGUUGGAAAUUUAUUUUCAGUGUCGCAGCGAAAGCGAUAAACACACCGCCUGGGGAGUACGACCGCAAGGUUA
rnacentral:rRNA from 1 species